AUUGAACGCUGGCGGCAGGCCUAACACAUGCAAGUCGAGCGGAUGAAGGGAGAUUGCUUCUGGAUUCAGCGGCGGACGGGUGAGUAAUGCCUAGGAAUCUGCCUGGUAGUGGGGGAUAACGUCCGGAAACGGGCGCUAAUACCGUAUACGUCCUGAGGGAGAAAGUGGGGGAUCUUCGGACCUCACGCUAUCAGAUGAGCCGAGGUCGGAUUAGCUAGUUGGUGGGGUAAAGGCCUACCAAGGCGACGAUCCGUAACUGGUCUGAGAGGAUGAUCAGUCACACUGGAACUGAGACACGGUCCAGACUCCUACGGGAGGCAGCAGUGGGGAAUAUUGGACAAUGGGCGAAAGCCUGAUCCAGCCAUGCCGCGUGGGUGAAGAAGGUCUUCGGAUUGUAAAGCACUUUAAGUUGGGAGGAAGGGCAGUAAGUUAAUACCUUGCUGUUUUGACGUUACCAACAGAAUAAGCACCGGCUAACUUCGUG
rnacentral:rRNA from 1 species